rnacentral:rRNA from 1 species
GACGAACGCUGGCGGCGUGCCUAAUACAUGCAAGUCGAGCGGAUCGAUGGAAGCUUGCUUCCUGAGAUCAGCGGCGGACGGGUGAGUAACACGUGGGCAACCUGCCCCUAAGAUCGGGAUAACUUCGGGAAACCGGAGCUAAUACCGGAUAGGACUUUUCUUCACAUGAAGGGAAGUGGAAAGACGGUUUCGGCUGUCACUUAGGGAUGGGCCCGCGGCGCAUUAGCUAGUUGGUGAGGUAACGGCUCACCAAGGCCACGAUGCGUAGCCGACCUGAGAGGGUGAUCGGCCACACUGGGACUGAGACACGGCCCAGACUCCUACGGGAGGCAGCAGUAGGGAAUCUUCCGCAAUGGACGAAAGUCUGACGGAGCAACGCCGCGUGAGUGAAGAAGGUUUUCGGAUCGUAAAACUCUGUUGUCAGGGAAGAACAAGUACCAUAGUAACUGAUGGUACCUUGACGGUACCUGACCAGAAAGCCACGGCUAACUACGUACCAGCCGCCGCAGUAACAC